rnacentral:rRNA from 1 species
UGUAUCUGAAAUCAAGCAGGAUCACCCGCUGAACUUAAGCAUGUCACUAAGCG